GGGCUUAUAGUUUAGUGGUAAAACGCGUCGUUGACAUCGACGAGACCGCAGGUCCGAUUCCUGCUGAGCCCA
rfam:Candidatus Nealsonbacteria bacterium RBG_13_38_11 RBG_13_scaffold_4727, whole genome shotgun sequence.